ACUACGGGUGGCAGCAGUGAGGAAUAUUGGUCAAUGGACGUGAGUCUGAACCAGCCAAGUAGCGUGAAGGAUGACUGCCCUAUGGGUUGUAAACUUCUUUUAUAUGGGAAUAAAGUUUUCCACGUGUGGGAUUUUGUAUGUACCCUAUGAAUAAGGAUCGGCUAACUCCGUGCCAGCAGCCGCGGUAAUACGGAGGAUCCGAGCGUUAUCCGGAUUUAUUGGGUUUAAAGGGGGGGUAGGUGGGUUGUUAAGUCAGUUGUGAAAGUUUGCGGCUCAAACGUAAAAUUGCAGUUGAAACUGGCAGUCUUGAGUAGAGUAGAGGUGGGCGGAAUUCGUGGUGUAGCGGGGAAAUGCUUAGAUAUCACGAAGAACUCCGAUUGCGAAGGCAGCUCACUGGAGUGCAACUGACACUGAAGCUCGAAAGUGUGGGUAUCAAACAGGAUUAGAUACCCUGGUAGUC
rnacentral:rRNA from 1 species